AUUGAACGCUGGCGGCAUGCCUUACACAUGCAAGUCGAACGGUAACAGGUCUUCGGAUGCUGACGAGUGGCGAACGGGUGAGUAAUACAUCGGAACGUGCCUAGUAGUGGGGGAUAACUACUCGAAAGAGUGGCUAAUACCGCAUGAGAUCUACGGAUGAAAGCAGGGGAUCGCAAGACCUUGUGCUACUAGAGCGGCCGAUGGCAGAUUAGGUAGUUGGUGGGAUAAAAGCUUACCAAGCCGACGAUCUGUAGCUGGUCUGAGAGGACGAUCAGCCACACUGGGACUGAGAGACGGCCCAGACUCCUACGGGAGGCAGCAGUGGGGAAUUUUGGACAAUGGGCGAAAGCCUGAUCCAGCAAUGCCGCGUGUAGGAUGAAGGCCUUCGGGUUGUAAACUGCUUUUGUACGGAACGAAAAGCCCUGGGUUAAUACCCUGGGGUCAUGACGGUACCGUAAGAAUAAGCACCGGCUAACUACGUGCCAGCAGCCGCAGUAAGAC
rnacentral:rRNA from 1 species